rnacentral:rRNA from 1 species
GGGUUGUGAGGUUAAGCGACUAAGCGUACACGGUGGAUGCCCUGGCAGUCAGAGGCGAUGAAGGGCGUGCUAAUCUGCGAUAAGCGCCGGUAAGGUGAUAUGAACCGUUAUAACCGGCGAUACCCGAAUGGGGAAACCCAGUGUGAUUCGUCACACUAUCAUUAACUGAAUCCAUAGGUUAAUGAGGCGAACCGGGGGAACUGAAACAUCUAAGUACCCCGAGGAAAAGAAAUCAACCGAGAUUCCCCCAGUAGCGGCGAGCGAACGGGGAGGAGCCCAGAGCCUGAAUCAGCAUGUGUGUUAGUGGAAGCGUCUGGAAAGGCGCGCGAUACAGGGUGACAGCCCCGUACACAAAAGCGCAUGUGCUGUGAGCUCGAUGAGUAGGGCGGGACACGUGGUAUCCUGUCUGAAUAUGGGGGGACCAUCCUCCAAGGCUAAAUACUCCUGACUGACCGAUAGUGAACCAGUACCGUGAGGGAAAGGCGAAAAGAACCCCGGCGAGGGGAGUGAAAAGAACCUGAAACCGUGUACGUACAAGCAGUGGGAGCACCCUUCGGGGUGUGACUGCGUACCUUUUGUAUAAUGGGUCAGCGACUUAUAUUCUGUAGCAAGGUUAACCGUAUAGGGGAGCCGGAGGGAAACCGAGUCUUAAUUGGGCGUUAAGUUGCAGGGUAUAGACCCGAAACCCGGUGAUCUAGCCAUGGGCAGGUUGAAGGUUGGGUAACACUAACUGGAGGACCGAACCGACUAAUGUUGAAAAAUUAGCGGAUGACCUGUGGCUGGGGGUGAAAGGCCAAUCAAACCGGGAGAUAGCUGGUUCUCCCCGAAAGCUAUUUAGGUAGCGCCUCGUGAAUUCAUCUCCGGGGGUAGAGCACUGUUUCGGCUAGGGGGCCAUCCCGGCUUACCAACCCGAUGCAAACUGCGAAUACCGGAGAAUGUUAUCACGGGAGACACACGGCGGGUGCUAACGUCCGUCGUGAAGAGGGAAACAACCCAGACCGCCAGCUAAGGUCCCAAAGUCAUGGUUAAGUGGGAAACGAUGUGGGAAGGCCCAGACAGCCAGGAUGUUGGCUUAGAAGCAGCCAUCAUUUAAAGAAAGCGUAAUAGCUCACUGGUCGAGUCGGCCUGCGCGGAAGAUGUAACGGGGCUAAACCAUGCACCGAAGCUGCGGCAGCGAACGUAUCACCCAAGACAACUUUACGGAGUUGACGAUUGACGGAGCGAAGCGACGUCAAAGCGUUCAUUAAAGUCGAGUUGGCUUAGGGGUACGUUCGUUGGGUAGGGGCAAGGGUUCCUGUCCAACGUUAAUCGGGGCAGGGUGAGUCGACCCCAAGGCGAGGCCGAAAGGCGUAGUCGAUGGGAAACGGGUUAAUAUUCCCGUACUUGGUGUUACUGCGAAGGGGGACGGAGAAGGCUAUGUUGGCCGGGCGACGGUUGUCCCGGUUUAAGCGUGUAGGUGUGUGUUCCAGGUAAAUCCGGUUCACUUUAACACUGAGGCGUGACGACGAGGCACUACGGUGCUGAAGCAACAAAUGCCCUGCUUCCAGGAAAAGCCUCUAAGCAUCAGGUAACAUCAAAUCGUACCCCAAACCGACACAGGUGGUCAGGUAGAGAAUACCAAGGCGCUUGAGAGAACUCGGGUGAAGGAACUAGGCAAAAUGGUGCCGUAACUUCGGGAGAAGGCACGCUGACACGUAGGUGAAGUGAUUUACUCAUGGAGCUGAAGUCAGUCGAAGAUACCAGCUGGCUGCAACUGUUUAUUAAAAACACAGCACUGUGCAAACACGAAAGUGGACGUAUACGGUGUGACGCCUGCCCGGUGCCGGAAGGUUAAUUGAUGGGGUCAGCGCAAGCGAAGCUCCUGAUCGAAGCCCCGGUAAACGGCGGCCGUAACUAUAACGGUCCUAAGGUAGCGAAAUUCCUUGUCGGGUAAGUUCCGACCUGCACGAAUGGCGUAAUGAUGGCCAGGCUGUCUCCACCCGAGACUCAGUGAAAUUGAACUCGCUGUGAAGAUGCAGUGUACCCGCGGCAAGACGGAAAGACCCCGUGAACCUUUACUAUAGCUUGACACUGAACAUUGAGCCUUGAUGUGUAGGAUAGGUGGGAGGCUUUGAAGUGUGGACGCCAGUCUGCAUGGAGCCGACCUUGAAAUACCACCCUUUAAUGUUUGAUGUUCUAACGUGGACCCGUAAUCCGGGUUGCGGACAGUGUCUGGUGGGUAGUUUGACUGGGGCGGUCUCCUCCUAAAGAGUAACGGAGGAGCACGAAGGUUGGCUAAUCCUUCGGACAUCAGGAGGUUAGUGCAAUGGCAUAAGCCAGCUUGACUGCGAGCGUGACGGCGCGAGCAGGUGCGAAAGCAGGUCAUAGUGAUCCGGUGGUUCUGAAUGGAAGGGCCAUCGCUCAACGGAUAAAAGGUACUCCGGGGAUAACAGGCUGAUACCGCCCAAGAGUUCAUAUCGACGGCGGUGUUUGGCACCUCGAUGUCGGCUCAUCACAUCCUGGGGCUGAAGUAGGUCCCAAGGGUAUGGCUGUUCGCCAUUUAAAGUGGUACGCGAGCUGGGUUUAGAACGUCGUGAGACAGUUCGGUCCCUAUCUGCCGUGGGCGCUGGAGAACUGAGGGGGGCUGCUCCUAGUACGAGAGGACCGGAGUGGACGCAUCACUGGUGUUCGGGUUGUCAUGCCAAUGGCACUGCCCGGUAGCUAAAUGCGGAAGAGAUAAGUGCUGAAAGCAUCUAAGCACGAAACUUGCCCCGAGAUGAGUUCUCCCUGAGACUUAGAGUCUCCUGAAGGAACGUUGAAGACGACGACGUUGAUAGGCCGGGUGUGUAAGCGCAGCGAUGCGUUGAGCUAACCGGUACUAAUGAACCGUGAGGCUUAACCUUACAACGCCGAAG